CUUUUCAGUCGGGCGCUGAGUGGUUUUUCGGAUCAUGUCUGGUGGCUCCGCGGAUUAUAACAGAGAACAUGGCGGCCCAGAGGGAAUGGACCCCGAUGGUGUCAUCGAGAGCAACUGGAAUGAGAUUGUUGAUAACUUUGAUGAUAUGAAUUUAAAGGAGUCUCUCCUUCGUGGCAUCUAUGCUUACGGUUUUGAGAAGCCUUCCGCUAUUCAGCAGAGAGCUAUUAUUCCCUGUAUUAAAGAUCCAAAAGGUAAUUCUGGCACUUGGAGACUAUAUGGGAGCCACUUGUCAUGCCUGCAUUGGUGGAACAAAUGUUCGAAAUGAAAUGCAAAAACUGCAGGCUGAAGCACCACAUAUUGUUGUUGGUACACCCGGGAGAGUGUUUGAUAUGUUAAACAGAAGAUACCUUUGUAAGUAUUGUCUUUAAGAGAGUAUUUUUUUUUUUUUAACACUGUUAACAUAGUUGAAAAGUCAAAUCGUAUCACUGAGUAGAUCUAGAAAUGACAGUAUGACUUUGUUUCUAACAGCUCCAAAAUGGAUCAAAAUGUUUGUUUUGGAUGAAGCAGAUGAAAUGUUGAGC
rnacentral:sRNA from 1 species